AUUGAACGCUGGCGGCAGGCCUAACACAUGCAGGUCGAACGGUAACAGGAAACAGCUUGCUGUUUCGCUGACGAGUGGCGGACGGGUGAGUAAUGUCUGGGAAACUGCCUGAUGGAGGGGGAUAACUACUGGAAACGGUAGCUAAUACCGCAUAACGUCGCAAGACCAAAGAGGGGGACCCUCGGGCCUCUUGCCAUCGGAUGUGCCCAGAUGGGAUUAGCUUGUUGGUGGGGUAACGGCUCACCAAGGCGACGAUCCCUAGCUGGUCUGAGAGGAUGACCAGCCACACUGGAACUGAGACACGGUCCAGACUCCUACGGGAGGCAGCAGUGGGGAAUAUUGCACAAAGGGCGCAAGCCUGAUGCAGCCAUGCCGCGUGUAUGAAGAAGGCCUUCGGGUUGUAAAGUACUUUCAGCGGGGAGGAAGGGAGUAAAGUUAAUACCUUUGCUCAUUGACGUUACCCGCAGAAGAAGCACCGGCUAACUCCGUG
rnacentral:rRNA from 1 species